CGACGGGGACGGCUCGAGCUUGCAGGGGCUGGGGGCAGAUCCGGAGGCAGGGGUCGCCGGUGACGACGAGGAAGGCGGAGCACGGGCGGAUCCAUGGCAUCCGCGGCUCCUGGGCACAAAGGAGACAGGGAGGCCAGGGAGAGAAGAAGGAAGAAAGGAGGGGUUGUGCGGCGACCUAGCGAGGAGCUCGCCGGAGCUGGGCGAAGGCGGAUUGGCGCGGGAGACGGAGGGGUCCGGCGCGGCGGCGCGAAGUCCUUGCAGGUGGAGGCAGGCGUCGAAGCAGAGGACGAGAGGAUCCCCUGAUCCACCCCCUCCUACCCAUCCAGCCCUUCCUCGAUGGCCCGCGUGCGACGAGCCCCUACGCGGGGUAAGAAGGGGGGUCACGCGAGGUGGGGCACUCCAGCCCCCUCCUAGCCCUACCACGGUGAGGCCUCCUUUCCCUCUCUCCCUGCCUGAGCCAUAGGCUGGCGGCGCUGAGGUCGAUAUGCUCAUGCACACACUGUUGCUGUGACAUGAUGACAGCCACGACCCACUUUUUCUUCCAGUUCCUUGUUUUUGUGGUGGAUGCAUCCAUGAUUAUUUGUUUCAACUAUUGAUUUUCAGUUUAGUCAAUCAAACCCAUUCCGAUGCUGCUCUUUUACUUGUACAAAUAAACUAUUGUUCACUAAACUGAGCAGCUAGCUACUGGUGUCUCAAAGAUUAAGCACAGGUUGGUACUUAUGGUCAGGCCUGCCUCAAGUAGGGGAAGAAGAGGAGGCCUGAAAGAGAGAGGCCACAAGGUAGAAGCCUUUUGAUUAGGAGGCAGUCCAGCAAGUUGGACGAACUGCUGAUAAAGAGAUAAUUCUAUUCUGAAUUUUUAUCUGAAAAGCAGGAUUGGAUCACGGAUGUGUGUUGGCUAUGUCUCUCACGGUGUGUGGAACCAGUUAUUGGUUAAUUUCAUCUUGUUUGUUGACAUUGAUGGUGUUGUCCAUUGGUUUAAAAGAAAUUUGUUGAAGCUAAAGAUGAAGAGGAACUUGUGGAAGAGGAAAAGAAAUGACAUGGUAGAAAUUCAUUCACACAUAUCAGGGUCAUAGUGAGAGGAUUGAUCUGCUUGAUUCGCUCCUGAUGGUCGGUGGAUUGUUUCUGGUAGGGCUAAGAGUUCUGUGAAGGGCGUGUAGACGGCAGGAUGAGCAGCAGCAUGCCGGUGGUAAGACAGGGCGUGUAGACGGCAGGAUGAGCAGCAGCAUGCCAGUGGUAAGACAGGGCGUGUUGGCGUAUGCGAAGCAGCCAUGCAUGAAUCUUGGCGGCAGAUGCUUGCUGGCCGUAGUGGCAGCACCAAUUCAAGCCGGGAGGCGGGAAGCUGGAGUAGCAGGAACGAUUGGUCGUCCAUUAGGCAUGAACCCAACUCCACUGUACUCCCUUUUCUUUCCGUAACCAAUUCUUUGGAGCAGACAUGUGGGUACAGUUACAUAGCCUGAAGAUUGUUUGCUUUUUUUGGUUAGUUUAGAUUUAGAUUUCUCAGAUAUUCACUAUUUGAUCAAUCGAUCCAUGUAGAUCUCAUUGACAUGGUUUGUGGAAUGUACCUUUCAGCAUUUA